CACCCUUUGGCAGCAAUUGAAAGAUGUUCUAUCAAAAUGGCCUCCAGCGUAAUUGGAACAAACUAAGAAGACUGUAACAUUUAUAGUACAACGACAACAAAGGCUUUCAGCAGAUGAAGCCACCAGGACCUGAAGAUGGAAUAAAGAGGAACAUGGCUGUGGAGAAGCUGGAUAGCCUCAGGUAAAUAAAUCUCUUAUUAUCCACUUUGCACAGCUGCCACCAUGCAAGUGGAUACAUCAUCUUGGCGAGUUUGUAGAAAAUACAAAGACCCCACAGAAGGUAUCCUGGAUCACAUUGAAAAAUUAUGGAAUCACCGGCAUCGCGGCUAUCUCCACUGCGACUACCGUUUUGUGGUGUCCCAGGAUCAUUGCAAGAUGUUGCUGUUGU